UAAACCUAACAAAAGAAUUCUAACGCCCAAAAGCUGAAAGAGAGAACGUUGAAGACGCAGCACCAUACAGACCCCCCCUGUGCGUCAUCGUCUUCAACCUUGCCUCCCCCCACCCGUUUCUGAUCUGGUUUUCUUUUAACAAAAGUACAAAGCGACCACCCACCCUGGCGUCAUCGUCUUCAGCACAACCUUCAGCCCCCUCUAAAAUCGGCAGCCACACACACGCACACCUAGAUGAACAGAGAGCAAACGAUGACAGAGCGAGAAAUUUCGUUUCAAAAUAGGGAGUUCGAUCGAGUUCGAGGUGUCGUUCACAGUGCAGUUAUUGAUCCUGUUUGAGCCUGAUUGUUUGUCUCGAGUUUUGGGUUGUAAUAUUCGCUUGAUUUCUGUCCUUGUAUCACUAAAAAUUUCAUCAAUUGAAAGUUUGAAUUUCUGUUUCUAUAGUUGUUGAAGUUCUAUUAAUUGGAAAACAAUUUUCGACUCUUAAGCCUCAUUUUGCUGCUGAAGUUUCGUUAAUUCAAGCCCAUUUCGAAGCUCGUGGGCGAGAUUUGUUUGGAGCUGACGAGCGCGAGAUGCCGGUCGAGGUUUAAGUUCGUGAUUCCCGACCGGACUUGCUGCUGCUUCUUAGGACAGAUUUCGUAGAUUGGAAAUUUUGCAGUCGGAUAUCUUGCCGCUGAUUGUAGAGCAGUUGACGAGCUAAAUUCUGUCGCAAUACAUUCAGUGAGGAAGCCGUUGCUGCUUACGUCGGAACCAACAGGGAGCCUUUGAAAGAAUUGCCUUUCAGUCUUACCAAUAAGGAAGAAAUGCACGACAUGAAGGAAGAAGUGUAGGAACUAGAACAAUUGCGGCAUCUUGGUAAUGUAUUGGUGCAACCAACCUUGGACUGAACAUUUAGGAUAUAGCAAGGUGUGUCGAAUCUAUCCUACCUUCUCCGGUUUAUGAAAGUAGUGCAUGAGCUACGAGAAUCCACAAUCUUCAACAUUUCUUUAGUUAACUUAUGGUCUGAUUUGUGAAAAGGAAAAUACGGGUGAUGCAAUUGAACUAGUGACCACAAUUAUGAAGUGAAUGAUGAAGACUUUUUGAAUAAUUGUGAUGUGUAUUAUUCAUGUUGUCAUGAUACUUCUGAAUGGAAAUUACAAUUAAUUUUCAAUAUUUUCAUUAUUUUAGUAAAAGAAAAAAAAGAAAAGGAAAAUCUGUAAAAAAAAUCACGCCUUCCUAUCAGCUUCAAAUAUGAAUAGUGCUACCACUAAGAGUAAUUGAGAAUUUGUUUCUCUAUAGGAGUUUACAAUUAUCACUUGCAUUCAGAUUAAAACUUUUCUUCCUUCAAAAAUUUGAACCCUUAUGGGGAACUAUCUGUAACAUCUUGUAAAUUCGGAUUAGGUGUGGAUGUGUUAAAUGAGUAAAAAUGUGAUAUUUUAGACA